UACGCUUUCUUAGAAUGCCACCUUCUGUAAACACUUGCUCCCAAUCCAAGGUAGAGCAGUUCCAAAGGUGCGAACUAAAUUGUCUUCUGCAUUCUUCCAGCGCGUGUUUCACCCCCUCUCCAAUAAUUUCAAUCAUUUCAGGAAAGUGAUAACAUAGCUUUCUCUGAUUUUUAUCAAGCCAUUUUAUUCCUCUGCAGUAUGCCUUGGUAUCAGAUGAAGGUCUGGUCUUCACACUUCGGUUUGGUUUUUCACCAUGACUCAUGAUAAACAAGCU